AUUUUCAAAAGCUCACAGAAACCUUACUCUCAGUUCUCUCUCUCAUUGUUCUUCAUCUCUAGACAACGAAGUUUUGGAGGCCAAAAUCUUUUUCAUUGCAUCCAAAUUUUGAAACCCGCUCCUCAUCCCAAACUUUCAUUAUCCCGCCUUCUUUACAUUUGCAAGGAGAGAACCAAAGUAAAAAAGUGAGUUAGAGGUAGGACCUGAUUGGUGGCUAGGGUUUCGAGGUUAUUUUCUUAGGCCACGACAAGGUAAUAUAAGGGAUGCGUGUGAAGGCUGAUACAUGGGCGGCAAUAAGGUUUGGACCAGCCGGUAGGUUCAGUUCCCAAAUGGUGCAUUUGCAAGCAAGUUACCAUGAAGCUGCUUCAUCGUAAAGUUCCCAAAUUAUGGCACAGGAACAAAAGAUGGGCAGACAAUGGUUGUACGAGAAGGUGACAAAGUGUGUGCUUUCAGAUGUCUAUUGAUGGAUACAAUAGCUACUCAUUUGCGUGAAAGAUGGAGUGCAAACCAAAACGCCAACGCCAAACUAGAGAGAAAUGGAACAACUCCACCGGUUGAUGUAUAUCUAAUUGAUUAGUGAAAAGGGUUCAAGCUCAGUUGGGUUGAAAUGAAGCAAAAACCAAGCAUUUGGCUACCUAAAAGCUAAACAAUUUAAAGAAACUUUAUUUUUUUUUAAUUUGUAGUUGUGGUGGCUUAUUUACCAAAGUCAAAAGCAAACAAAAAGAAGAGCCUAUUGGGGAACUCUGUAAGUGCAGUUCCUGCAGGGUAACUGUCGCUUGGUCAACCAAAGCAGAAGUCCAAGUUAAAGUCAACGAUAAUGAAGAAUUCAAGACCACAUGAAGACCAUGCACUGAUCAAGGGGGAGUUUGUUAAUGCACUUUGGGUGAAAAGUGCAUGCCUUCCAAUUGUUAGGGUCUUUAUUAUACAUGUCUUGAAACUUAGUCCAAGGUUUAUCCUUGGACAAUUUGUCCAAGUUUCUGUCUAAGAACUUUUGUCAGGGGUUUGGUUUUUGUGUAGAUUGGUUUGUCCGAGUUUAGUCCCUAGUCUAUAUAUAUGUGUUGUAUAGGAUUAGGGCAAGACAACAAGAACCCUUGAGAAAGCUUUGUGCACCUCUCACAAGAUCCCAACCAUUCUCCACCAGUGGGUGAACAUUCUAGAGAGAGAGGGAGACUAUGUGUUAGUGAGAGAAAGCUAGGGUUUAGAUCUUUGUGAUCUAAACCAGCUUGUAGAUGAUGUAUACUCCUUUGGUUUAUGU